rnacentral:rRNA from 1 species
CAGCAGCCGCGGGAAUACGUAGGGUGCAAGCGUUAAUCGGAAUUACUGGGCGUAAAGCGUGCGCAGGCGGUUUGUUAAGACAGAUGUGAAAUCCCCGGGCUCAACCUGGGAACUGCAUUUGUGACUGGCAAGCUAGAGUAUGGCAGAGGGGGGUGGAAAUCCGCGUGUAGCAGUGAAAUGCGUAGAUAUGCGGAGGAACACCGAUGGCGAAGGCAGCCCCCUGGGCCAAUACUGACGCUCAUGCACGAAAGCGUGGGGAGCAAACAGGAUUAGAUACCCCGGUAGUCCCUGUCUCUUAUAA